AUUUGUGAGGCGCAACAGGGGAAUCUUAGACAAAGGGCGCAAGCCUGACUACCCAUGCCGCGUGAGUGAUAAAGGCCCUAGGGUCAUAAAGCUCUUUUUCCAGGGGUAUGAAAGUGACUGUACAAUAAAGAUAACCCCGGCUAAAUCCGUGCCAGCAGCCGCCGGUAAUAUGGAGGGGGUGUUAGCGUGUUUUGAAUUACUGGGGGUAAAGCGAGGUGGGCGGAUUAGUAAGUUUGGGGGGAAAACCCAGGGMUCAACCCUGGAACUGCGCCUAAAACUGUUAGUMUUGAGUUUGAGAGAGGUGAGAGGAAUUCCUAGUGUGGAGGUGAAAUUGGUAGAUAUUUGGAUGAACACCAGGAUGGCGAAGGCRGCUCUGGCUCGAUACUGACGCUGAGGUAMGAAAGUGUGGGGAGCAAACAGGAUUAGAUACCCUCGUUGUCCACACCGUAGACGAUGAAUGCCAGACGUCGGGGAGCAUGCUUUUCGGUGUCACAGCGAA
rnacentral:rRNA from 1 species